UUUUUUUCUAUGAAGUCAUAUUUUGAGGGACCAUGUAUAAGUGACCCUUAGUGGUGGACUGAUUAAUAAAGAUACUUGUAUAAAACUAGAUAUCACUGGAAUCAGAAUGUUCUCUAGUUUAUAAUGGAAUAAAAAAAAAAGUGUACUUUUAAUAGUAUAGAAAAGUUUUAUCCAGAGAAACUGGGAAAAACAUUGCCUUAAUUUAAGCUUAAAAAACCUGAAAUCAGGUCAUGUGCACACCCCUGAAGACAUGAUACCUGCACAUUUUUCAUAAUCAAAGUUGUAUGAAUUUCAUAGAUUUUUACCUGGUCUUUCAAAAAAUUCAUGCUUCAGGGUACGUUCGCCUGCUCCGAAAAGAGCUACAGUGGCUGCAAAUAAGUUUUCAAUUUUCACUGUCAAAAAAACAGACUGUUUACAGUGUUGUCUCCCCUCAAAACAUGUAUAUUUAAUCUAAUUUUUUAAAUUAUUUUAAACAUUCAACCUGCUUUAAUUGAAGUUAAUUAACAUAUCUUUACAACCAAAUACAAAAAACAUGAUACUUUUUCACCAAUUAUGUUGAUAAAAAGGGACUUUCCUCCAUGUCUAUUUUUAGUUGGGGAAUAACCCCUAGUUUUUUUAUACGAAACU
rnacentral:lncRNA from 1 species